UUGACCAGUGGCCAGGGUGUUGACCUGUGGCCAGGGUGUUGACCUGUGGCCAGGGUGUUGACCUGUGGCCAGGGUGUUGACCUGUGGCCAGGGUGUUGACCUGUGGCCAGGGUGUUGACCAGUGGCCAGGGUGUUGACCUGUGGCCAGGGUGUUGACCAGUGGCCAGGGUGUUGACCAGUGGCCAGGGUGUUGACCAGUGGCCAGGGUGUUGACCAGUGGCCAGGGUGUUGACCAGUGGCCAGGGUGUUGACCAGUGGCCAGGGUGUUGACCAGUGGCCACCGUGGCACGUCUCAUCACUAGGACCAAUAAGUUUGUAAUUAUUAAAGAAUAUAAUUGCGAGUAUCAGAGCGCUACAAGGAUGUCUGUAUCAAGUAGAGUGAUUGGAGGUCAGUAGUUGUUGUAAUUACUUUGGAGAGAUGUAAGUGGUGUGUGACCCCAGGUGUGUGACCCCAGGUGUGUGACCCCAGGUGUGUGACCCCAGGUGUGUGAUCCCAGGUGUGUGACCCCAGGUGUGUGACCCCCAGGUGUGUGGGUCGUGAACAGUGGCACCAACCUACUUUGGGACACUUCCCAAACCCAUUACUUCCCGAUAGUUUUAUUCUGAAAAUGAACUUAGACUUCAUACUUUGGGUGGUUGAUCCCUGGGCCCAGUGCUGGUCUUGGCUCAAUCCCUCGUCUACCCCUCGUUGUCAUAGUUUAGUAUAAUGUGUAUUGUUUGGUCUGAUGGUACAGCCCUCUCCUUGGUAUCGUCUCUUUAUUCUCUCCUGUUUUCUGUAUUCCUUUAGAUGUUGUUAGGGUUACUUCAGGCCAUGUGAAUGCGUGACAGAGACAAGUCUGACCGGACACUGUCAGCCUGUCUGACCGGACACUGUCAGCCUGUCUGACCGGACACUGUCAGCCAGUCUGACCGGACACUGUCACCCAGUCUGACCGGACACUGUCACCCAGUCUGACCGGACACUGUCAGCCUGUCAGACCGGACACUGUCAGCCUGUCUGACCGGACACUGUCAGCCUGUCUGACCGGUCAAUCAGUGAUAAUUCACCGCUGGCAGAGCAAAUAAUUCUUUAUAAAUAUAAAUAUUUAUAAAGUUUAUAUCAGAGGACAGAUGUGGUUGUCACCGUGUGUGCUAACUGGUGCACAAACGCUGCCGCCAUCUGUCUCCCCACCACCACUAUUUUGCGCUCUUAACCCACUAUCAUCCACGAAGGAAAAAGGUACAUGUUAAGUUAUAUAUGUAAAUUAGUCACAUGAUAUGAAAUCUGCAUAGAAAUAUAUCACCAUGGAAUGUGUCGAACUGCCUUAACCUUGCAUACAAAAUAUACCAAAUUUCUAUACUACAUAGGCUAUGUAUAGAUUAAAAAAAUAUAUAUAUAUAUAUAUAUAUAUAUAUAU